rnacentral:rRNA from 1 species
CCUACGGGAGGCAGCAGUGAGGAAUAUUGGUCAAUGGGCGGGAGCCUGAACCAGCCAAGCCGCGUGAGGGAAGAAGGUACAGCGUAUCGUAAACCUCUUUUGUCAGGGAACAAAGGCGGGGACUAGUCCCCGGAGGAGGGUACCUGAAGAAAAAGCAUCGGCUAACUCCGUACCAGCAGCCGCGGUAAUACGGAGGAUGCGAGCGUUAUCCGGAUUUAUUGGGUUUAAAGGGUGCGCAGGCGGCCUGUUAAGUCAGCGGUAAAAGCCCGGGGCUCAAGCCCGGCGAGCCGUUGAAACUGGCGGGGUGGAGUUGGGGAGAAGUACGCGGAAUGCGCGGUGUAGCGGUGAAAUGCUUAGAUAUCGCGCAGAACCCCGAUUGCGAAGGCAGCGUACCGGAUCCACACUGACGCUGAGGCACGAAAGCGUGGGUAUCGAACAGGAUUAGAUACCCCUGGUAGUC